CAAUAGCGUAUAUUAAAGUUGUUGCAGUUAGAACGCUCGUAGUCGGAUUUCGGGGCAGUCCGACCGGUCUGCCGAUGGGUAUGCACUGGCCGGAGUGUCCUUUUUGCCGGAGACCGUGCCUACUCUUAACUGAGCGGGGGCGGGAGACGGCACUUUUACUUUGAAAAAAUCAGAGUGUUUCAAGCAGGCAGCUCGCUCUUGCAUGGAUUAGCAUGGGAUAAUGAAAUAGGACUUUGGUGCUAUUUUGUUGGUUUCGAACACCGAAGUAAUGAUGAGAAGGGACAGUCAGGGGCACUCGUAUUCCGCAGAGAGAGGUGAAAUUCUCAGACCCGCGGAAGACGAACCACUGCGAAANCANNNGCCAGGGAUGUUUUCACNGA
rnacentral:rRNA from 1 species